rnacentral:rRNA from 1 species
CUACAAAGGAAUUGACGGGACCGCACAAGCGGUGGAUGAUGUGGUUAAUUCGAUGCAACGCGAAAACCUUACUACCCUUGACAUGUCCGGAAUCCCGAAGAGAUUUGGGAGUGCUCGCAAGAGAACCGGAACACAGGUGCUGCAUGGCUGUCGUCAGCUCGUGUCGUGAGAUGUUGGGUUAAGUCCCGCAACGAGCGCAACCCUUGUCAUUAGUUGCCAUCAUUUGGUUGGGCACUCUAAUGAGACUGCCGGUGACAAACCGGAGGAAGGUGGGGAUGACGUCAAGUCCUCAUGGCCCUUAUGGGUAGGGCUUCACACGCCAUACAAUGGUCGGUACAGAGGGUUGCCAACCCGCGAGGGGGAGCUAAUCCCACAAAGCCGAUCGUAGUCCGGAUCGCAGUCUGCAACUCGACUGCGUGAAGUCGGAAUCGCUAGUAAUCGUGGAUCAGCAUGUCACGGUGAAUACGUUCCCGGGUCUU